rnacentral:rRNA from 1 species
GUCUACACCCAUACCACCCUGAACAUGCCCGAUCUCCUCUGAUCUCGGAAGCUAAGCAGGGUCGGGCCUGGUUAGUACUUGGAUGGAAGACAAAUAGCACACAGACCCCAAGUGAGGCCCUGGAAAUACU